UUCAUUGAUGCUUUCUACAAACAAAGAAAAAUUGUGUGGUCAACGGGCUCUUGUUUUUGAGCAGAGCUGUACUUAUACAUAUAACAACAGCAACGAGCGAGAAUGUCUGUAAAUAAAUAUAUAAGAUUUGAAAUCCGGUUCUAAAGUACUGUUUUGAGCCCAGGUACUGUUUAGAGCUUAUUAAUCUAACUAUUGUUCAACCUCUAUGGUUGCCAGGUGCUGAUUUGUUAUAAAACUGACGUAGUGUGUUUUCGUUGGGGACAUCUGUGGCUGGUUCGUUUAAUAUACCAAUAGGAGAGAGGUAAUAUGAUUCUAACCA